UUGCUCUAUAGAAUUUACUGUGCAUAGAAUGUUGAAUAUUUUUUCACUACUAUAUCGUUAUAAGAUUUUCAUUUUCCAUAGAAAAAUAAGAGGUGUCAUGACUUGCUCACCAACUCCCUUUCGAGGCAUUCUUGAAAUACUAGUUAUCUAUGAAUGGAGGCAAACAACACUUGCCAAGUGGUGGCUUGAGUGACUGGGAGAAUAGUCUGGAGCUGAGCUGGUUGGAAAACCCCUUUGCUUCUUUUAAAAUCAAUGUCAAUAAUUCCAUAUUGGCCAUUCUUGGAGGUCUUUAAAUUGUGGCUUCAAUUCUAGUCUGUGGGCCUCUACUUAAUUAACCCAAACUAUUAAGGGGACCUAAAUACAAAUGUUCUUUCCAAUGUAUAUGGAGAAGACUUUUGGGAUACUGUUCUGGGAUUUACUAUUUGCUACACUUGGGUGCUGCAAAGUGUCAAAGAAUUGUCAAUCAAAGAAUGUCCCCAGUUAUCAGAAAGAUGUUAAAAGGAGACAGAAAUCCUGUGGCCUCACAUUGCUCUCAUCUUGACUAUUUAUAUUGAUGGCCAACAGUUCAAUGAUGAUCAUACAAUAUAGGUAACCGUAUUUUUCUUCACCUCUGUUUAUAUUUUCUCCCUUUAUCUGAUAAUUCCUUCUUCUUUUUUUUUAUUUUUCUUCUGGGAUUUGAAUGAUUCAUACUUUGUUCUUUACAUGUAAUCCAAGUUGGUACACUGAUUCGCCUAUAAUUUGUACAGAUAGCAUACUUGUUGUGAAAGCAUUAAAUUUUAUACUCUUGUACAGAUAAACGUACUUAAGUUACCUAAUUAUUCUGAUUUUUCAUUUUGUUAUAUCAAUUCCUAACUUCUUCUGUUUAACAUAAGUAUAAAAUGGAGUUAUGGACAGAUUAUUGUUAGUUGUUUCACUUCCCCUAUUUUUAUGCAUCGAUUAAUGCAAAAUAUCUCUUAUACAAUGAGGCAACAUUGGAUGUUUGCGUCGUAUCUUUUCAGAAGCAAAACCAAAAUUAAAUGGAAAAGGAUCGCAAGACAGAUUGCUUCUAUCACAGAGAUUCUAAGUAAUUGAAACACUGGUGAAAUAAGCUGAGAUGUGAGAGUGAGUAUCCCUAAAAUUUACAGCUACAAGUUUGUUAGAGGGCUUAUCUCCAGUCAAGACUCCUAAGCUGAAAGCUAGUAAUAAGAGAAACUAACGUGAAUGUCUGCUUGUACAUUUCCUGCUGUAUUUGUUGUGAUGAGGAGAUAUUGCUAUAGGAUGAUUUCAUCUUGCUAAUUUCCUUCCAGAGCAGACAGUUUUUGAAUUCAAACCAAGAGAAAUAUCUAUUGUUUGAGAAAGAACAUACAGAUUUCAACUUGCCAAUGCCAUUGUGAAGUAUAGUUAAAUUUUACUCUCAACAGCAUCAUCACUAUCUAUGUAACAAAGGCUACACAACAUGCAACUCUUUCACCUUCUCUUAUCAAGAAGUGAGCCUUGAUCUAACGAUCUUGAAUUCAAGUUAGUUGUGAAUGGAGUCAACCAACGCUUGCUAAGUAGUGGCUUGAGUGGUUGGGAGAAGUGCCUGGAGAGCUAAGCUGGUUGGAAAAACCCUUUGCUUCUUUCAAAUUCAAUGUGAAUGGUUCCAUCUUGGCCAUUCUUGGAGGUGUUUGAGCGGUGGCUUCAAUUCUAUUCUUUAGGCAUUUACUUAUUUAACCCAAACUGUUAAAGAGGACUUAAAUACAAAGGUUCUUUCAUAAUGUACAUAUGGAGAAGACUUUUUGGGCGUCUGAGUCUGAAGAACAUUAAGGAUUUAGAAGUUUUGCCAGAAGAGUUCCUACUGCUGUACUGCCUUAAAUUGGAAUUGCUACUGCCUUAAAAGCAUUGUCCGUAAGCAAUUGUCCUAAUCUGAGGGCUUUGCCAGACUGGAUACCUAAUAUCACUUCCCUUAAAA
rnacentral:sRNA from 1 species